rnacentral:rRNA from 1 species
AAACCAACCGGGAUUGCCUUAGUAACGGCGAGUGAAGCGGCAAAAGCUCAAAUUUGAAAUCUGGUACCUUCGGUGCCCGAGUUGUAAUUUGGAGAGGGCAACUUUGGGGCCGUUCCUUGUCUAUGUUCCUUGGAACAGGACGUCAUAGAGGGUGAGAAUCCCGUGUGGCGAGGAGUGCGGUUCUUUGUAAAGUGCCUUCGAAGAGUCGAGUUGUUUGGGAAUGCAGCUCUAAGUGGGUGGUAAAUUCCAUCUAAAGCUAAAUAUUGGCGAGAGACCGAUAGCGAACAAGUACAGUGAUGGAAAGAUGAAAAGAACUUUGAAAAGAGAGUGAAAAAGUACGUGAAAUUGUUGAAAGGGAAGGGCAUUUGAUCAGACAUGGUGUUUUGUGCCCUCUGCUCCUUGUGGGUAGGGGAAUCUCGCAUUUCACUGGGCCAGCAUCAGUUUUGGUGGCAGGAUAAAUCCAUAGGAAUGUAGCUUGCCUCGGUAAGUAUUAUAGCCUGUGGGAAUACUGCCAGCUGGGACUGAGGACUGCGACGUAAGUCAAGGAUGCUGGCAUAAUGGUUAUAUGCCGCCGUCUUUGACAACAGAAACAAUAAAU